rnacentral:rRNA from 1 species
CUACGUGCCAGCAGCCGCGGUAAUACGGAGGGUGCGAGCGUUAAUCGGAAUAACUGGGCGUAAAGGGCACGCAGGCGGUGACUUAAGUGAGGUGUGAAAGCCCCGGGCUUAACCUGGGAAUUGCAUUUCAUACUGGGUCGCUAGAGUACUUUAGGGAGGGGUAGAAUUCCACGUGUAGCAGUGAAAUGCGUAGAGAUGUGGAGGAAUACCGAUGGCGAAGGCAGCCUCCUGGGAUAACACUGACGUUCAUGCUCGAAAGCGUGGGUAGCAAACAGGAUUAGAUACCCUGGUAGUCCACGCCCUAAACGAUGUCAAUUAGCUGUUGGGCAACUUGAUUGCUCAGUAGCGUAGCUAACGCGUGAAAUUGACCGCCUGGGGAGUACGGUCGCAAGAUUAAAACUCAAAGGAAUUGACGGGGACCCGCACAAGCGGUGGAUGAUGUGGAUUAAUUCGAUGCAACGCGAAGAACCUUACCUGGUCUUGACAU